CCCUUAGAUGUUCUGGGCCGCACGCGCGCUACACUGUUCGACGCAGCGAGUCUUAACCUUGACCGAAAGGUUUGGGUAAUCUUCAGCAAAGUCGAACGUGAUGGGGAUCGAUCAUUGCAAUUAUUGAUCGUGAACGAGGAAUUCCUAGUAAGUGCAAGUCAUCAGCUUGCGCUGAUUACGUCCCUGCCCUUUGUACACACCGCCCGUCGCUACUACCGAUUGAAUGGUUUAGUGAGAUCUCUGGAUUGACGCUGGCUAGGUGGCGACCCUUGGCCAGACUGUUGAGAAACUGCUCAAACUUGAUCAUUUAGAGGAAGUAAAAGUCGUAACA
rnacentral:rRNA from 1 species